rnacentral:rRNA from 1 species
AACGAACGCUGGCGGCAGGCCUAACACAUGCAAGUCGAACGCCGUAGCGAAUACGGAGUGGCAGACGGGUGAGUAACACGUGGGAACGUACCCUUCGUUCGGGAUAACUCAGGGAAACUUGAGCUAACUACCGGAGUACGUCCGAGAGGAGAAAGAUUUAUCGCCGAGGGAUCGGCCCGCGUCUGAUUAGCUUGUUGGUGAGGUAACGGCUCACCAAGGCGACGAUCAGUAGCUGGUCGAGAGGAUGAUCAGCCACAUUGGGACUGAGACACGGCCCAAACGUCCUACGGGAGGCAGGCCAGUGGGGAAUA